rnacentral:rRNA from 1 species
UGCGCAGGCGGUUUGCUAAGACAGGUGUGAAAUCCCCGGGCUUAACCUGGGAACUGCGCUUGUAACUGGCAAGCUAGAGUGUGGCAGGAGGGGGGUGGAAUUCCACGUGUAGCAGUAGAAAUGCGUAGAGAUGUGGAGGAACACCGAUGGCGAAGGCACGCCCCCUGGGCUAACACUGACGCUCAUGCAGAAAGCGUGGGGAGCAAACGA